GGACAGACUAAUUUCAUUGCGUGGGGACCAAAGUUGAUCACCACGAUCUCGGGACCUAACCCCUGCGAAUUUUUUUUUUUUUGACAUUUUAUUAAGUCGAAAGUGUACGAGAAUAAUUUUCAUGAUUUCACCCAACUCAAACAAGGAAUCCGAAGUGUGAUAGGAAAACUGGACGGCGAAAUGUGUGAGCGCAUCAUCGUGAAUUGUAUGGACAGUUAAAAUGCCUGUAGGGCUAGUAGAGGAGGGAGAGUAUUGUGUUUCAUACUUAAACUUCAGAAUUUCCUAAAUAUAAAAUCAUAUUUUU